CCAUGGGGGAACCCUGAUGCAGCGACGCCNCGCUGGAGGAAGAAGGUCUUCCGAUUGUAAACUCCUGUUGUUGGGGAAGAUAAUGACGGUACCCAACAAGGAAGUGACGGCUAACUACGUGCCAGCAGCCGCGGUAAAACGUAGGUCACAAGCGUUGUCCGGAAUUACUGGGUGUAAAGGGAGCGCAGGCGGGAAGACAAGUUGGAAGUGAAAUCUAUGGGCUCAACCCAUAAACUGCUUUCAAAACUGUUUUUCUUGAGUAGUGCAGAGGUAGGCGGAAUUCCCGGUGUAGCGGUGGAAUGCGUAGAUAUCGGGAGGAACACCAGUGGCGAAGGCGGCCUACUGGGCACCAACUGACGCUGAGGCUCGAAAGUGUGGGUAGCAAACAGGAUUAGAUACCCUGGUAGUCCAAGGGCGAAUUC
rnacentral:rRNA from 1 species